UCUGGGCGUAAGCGCGCGCAGGCGGUUGUGAAGACCGAUGUGAAUCCCCGAGCUCAACCUGGGAAUUGCAUUGGAGACUGCACAGCUAGAGUGUGGCAGAGGGGGGUGGAAUUCCACGUGUAGCGGUGAAAUGCGUAGAUAUGUGGAGGAAUACCGAUGGCGAAGGCAGCCCCCUGGACUGAUACUGACGCUGAUGCGCGAAAGCGUGGGGAGCAAACAGGAUUAGAUACCCUGGUAGUCCACGCCCUAAACGAUGUCAACUAGCUGUUGGGGAUCCUUGUUCCUUAGUAAGGCACCUCACACGCGAAAUUGACCGCCCGGGGAGAACACGGCGCCAGAUUA
rnacentral:rRNA from 1 species